ACUCAAAUGAAUUGACGGGGGCCCGCACAAGCAGCGGAGCGUGUGGUUUAAUUCGAGGCUACACGAAGAACCUUACCUAGACUUGACAUACUAGUGGUAGGGAACCGAAAGGGGACCGACCUUCGGGAGCUAGUACAGGUGCUGCAUGGCUGUCGUCAGCUCGUGUCGUGAGAUGUUCGGUUAAGUCCGGUAACGAGCGCAACCCUCGCCAUUAGUUACAAGUGUCUAGUGGGACUGCCCGGAGGAACUGGGAGGAAGGUGGGGAUGACGUCAAGUCAGCAUGGCCUUUAUGUCUAGGGCGACACACACGCUACAAUGGUCGGUACAAUGGGCAGCCAAGUGGUGACACGGAGCUAAUCCUACCAAAACCGGCCUCAGUUCGGAUUGCAGGCUGCAACUCGCCUGCAUGAAGUCGGAGUUGCUAGUAAACGCGCAUCAGCCAUGGCGCGUUGAAUACGUUCCCGGGCCUUGUACACACCGCCCGU
rnacentral:rRNA from 1 species